CACGUAGGGCGCAAGCGUUGUCCGGAAUUAUUGGGCGUAAAGAGCUCGUAGGCGGCCUGUUGCGUCUGCUGUGAAAACCCGGGGCUUAACCCCGGGCCUGCAGUGGAUACGGGCGGGCUAGAGGCAGGUAGGGGAGAAUGGAAUUCCCGGUGUAGCGGUGAAAUGCGCAGAUAUCGGGAGGAACACCGGUGGCGAAGGCGGUCCUCUGGGCCUGACCUGACGCUGAGGAGCGAAAGCGUGGGUAGCGAACGGG
rnacentral:rRNA from 1 species